rnacentral:rRNA from 1 species
UUCAGCGGCGGACGGGUGAGUAAUGCCUAGGAAUCUGCCUGGUAGUGGGGGACAACGUUUCGAAAGGAACCUAAUACCGCAUACGUCCUACGGGAGAAAGCAGGGGACCUUCGGGCCUUGCGCUAUCAGAUGAGCCUAGGUCGGAUUAGCUAGUUGGUGAGGUAAUGGCUCACCAAGGC